rnacentral:rRNA from 1 species
UACGUAGGGACCAAGCGUUGUUCGGAUUUACUGGGCGUAAAGGGCGCGUAGGCGGCUUGACAAGUCACUUGUGAAAUCUCCGGGACUUAACUCGGAACGGCCAAGUGAAACUGUCAUGCUAGAGUGCGGAAGGGGCAAUCGGAAUUCUUGGUGUAGCGGUGAAAUGCGUAGAUAUCAAGAGGAACACCUGAGGUGAAGACGGGUUGCUGGGCCGACACUGACGCUGAUGCGCGAAAGCCAGGGGAGCAAACGGG